UAGCUGUGGAGGGAGAUGGGCCUGGCUGCCGGGGAGCAUACUAGGAUAUCUGAGCAAACGUUCUGAAGGGCAGUGAUGCUGACAAAUCCUUACAGGCCAGAGAAGGGAAUAAAGCAAGGAGAAAACUGGAUGAAAAAAGCAGAUAAAGAGCCUAAGAAUUCCUGAGUCCAAUGCAUUGGAGGCAAACAGUGCUACAGGUUCAAAAUGUGGUUAGUGUGUGUGAAAGGCGACAAGCGGACACCCCUGGAGAAAGACACAGAACACAAAUCAUAGGCAGUGGCAGUUCAAGCUUUCUUCACCGGGCUCCAUUAAUGUGACUCAAACCCUGACCUGAAAGACCCAGGUAAAAGGGUGGACAAUCCUUUGUCCUUUGCUGUGACUGCCAAAAAGGUACCAUUUAUUGUCAGACAUGGGGAUAUUUGUCAACUGUGAAUAAUAAUUAUCCUCUAGGAACUGGACCAAGACCACCAAUGCUUUUCACAUAGGUGGCUUUCAGUCACCACCAAUGUGGGCUGGAUUCAAACCAUCAUAAUCCCAUUACAAAUUCCCUCAGACAUACAAUCUCCCGUCCUAUCCAGAAUCUAUCUAGAGAACAAUAAGACUGUACUGAGCUGAAUAUUGGAAGGAACUAACACCUCCCAAAUCAUACCAACUUACUGAAAACAUUUCAUAAUAUCAGAAACAGCUUCAUAAUAAACCUUUUUAAAGAACAUCAGGAGAUGAUACUCUAACAUUACAUAUCUCCUGGCCUCCAAGCAUGUACUGGACAGGACAACAAAUGUGAGAAAAUCGACACUUCCCAGUACUUGUUACUGGUAUAUGGGGAUUAACAGGGAAGCCAACAUUAAAUUAAUAAAUCUUUUGGAAGAUGCUGAAUAGAAACUAACAUUAGGGUCCAGUGAUUCAUGUCUCCUGAUCCUGGAAGACAUGGUAAUAUGGAAUUGAUCUGAAAAUUAAAAGAGGGAGAAAGGAUCCUUAUUUCUA